rnacentral:rRNA from 1 species
AUUGAACGCUGGCGGCAUGCCUUACACAUGCAAGUCGAACGGCAGCACGGGGGCAACCCUGGUGGCGAGUGGCGAACGGGUGAGUAAUGCAUCGGAACGUGCCCAGUAGUGGGGGAUAACUAGUCGAAAGAUUAGCUAAUACCGCAUACGACCUAUGGGUGAAAGCGGGGGACCUUUACCGGCCUCGCGCUAUCGGAGCGGCCGAUGUCUGAUUAGCUAGUUGGCGGGGUAAGAGCCCACCAAGGCGACGAUCAGUAGCUGGUCUGAGAGGACGACCAGCCACACUGGGACUGAGACACGGCCCAGACUCCUACGGGAGGCAGCAGUGGGGAAUUUUGGACAAUGGGCGCAAGCCUGAUCCAGCCAUGCCGCGUGC